rnacentral:rRNA from 1 species
CCUAAGGUAGCGAAAUUCCUUGUCGGGUAAGUUCCGACCCGCACGAAAGGCGUAAUGAUUUGGGCACUGUCUCAACGAUACACCCGGUGAAAUUGAAAUACCAGUGAAGAUGCUGGUUACCUGCGCCAGGACGGAAAGACCCCAUGGAGCUUUACUCCAGUUUGAUACUGGGAUUCGGCAUGGUAUGUACAGGAUAGGUGGGAGACUGAGAAGGUAUGACGUCAGUUGUACCGGAGUCGCUGUUGGGAUACCACCCUUACCAUGUUGGAUUUCUAACCUGUGGCCGUAAGCCGGUCAGGGGACAAUGUCAGGCGGGGAGUUUGACUGGGGCGGUCGCCUCCGAAAGGGUAUCGGAGGCGCUCAAAGGUUCCCUCAGAAUGGUUGGAAACCAUUCGAAGAGUGCAAAGGCAGAAGGGAGCUUGACUGCGACACCGACGGGUGGAGCAGGUACGAAAGUAGGACUUAGUGAUCCGGUGGUAUAAAGUGGGAUUGCCAUCGCUCAACGGAUAAAAGCUACCCUGGGGAUAACAGGCUUAUCACUCCCAAGAGUUCACAUCGACGGAGUGGUUUGGCACCUCGAUGUCGGCUCAUCGCAUCCUGGAGCUGUAGCAGGUUCCAAGGGUUGGGCUGUUCGCCCAUUAAAGCGGUACGCGAGCUGGGUUCAGAACGUCGUGAGACAGUUCGGUCCCUAUCCGGCGCGGGCGGAGGAUAUUUGAGAGGAGCUGUCCUUAGUACGAGAGGACCGGGAUGGACGGACCACUGGUGUAUCUGUUGUCGACCAACGGCAUGGCAGAGUAGCCAAGUCUGGAAGGGAUAAACGCUGAAGGCAUCUAAGCGUGAAGCCCCCCUAAAGAUAAGAUUUCCCAUACCGAAAGGUAGUAAGACCCCUUGAAGACGACGAGGUAGAUAGGGCAGAGGUGGAAGUACGGUAACGUAUGGAGCUGACUGUUACUAAUCGGUCGAGGCUUUAACCAA